rnacentral:lncRNA from 1 species
CCCCAAACAGUUACGUGGUUCACCUGUGCCUCAUUUUCCUUUUGAAAGCCAGGUGCUUCUUUCUUGUGCCAUCCCCAAUGUUCAUCGCUCCCCUCGAGGUGGUAGCCAGGGGAGUCCUGGUCUCAGCCUGCUGUCACCUAGCGAGGGACUGUCAUGGCCCCUGGAUGCUUCUGGAAGUGCGUUCAGGAAGAAAGAGUUCCCUAUGAUAUCCUGUUUUCCUCGGUUUACAAAGACAACUCAGUGUCGAGGGAACUGAAGACUGGGGUGUGCUGGACUAACACAAAUUUAACUGAAGCCAAGAAUGCCCUGGUUUGGCUCUGGAAAGAGUAAUAAGCAGCCAAGGACAUUUGGAAGGCCAAAUCUAAACCAGUACGGGAUGUCUGUGCCCCACAGAGUAAGAGCAGGCUUUGAAGCUGAGGGUCAGAGCUGGACAAAUCACCCUGCAGAGCAGGGAAUGGGCUGGAUGUGAAAUGGGUGGGCUCUGCUCUUUGCAGCAAGACCAGCAGAAGUUUCUGUUCAGAGCUGACUUGAUGUGGGAGGGGCAGAGCCUGGAGGGGAAAGGAAGGAAGAAGAGCUUUCUCCUUGCUUUAGUUUUUCCAUGUGGUUCUGCACUCAGGUGAAGAGAUCUGGUCCUGAAUAUUCAGCUAUUUCAGUGGUCUACAGUCAAAGGCAGACUAUUUGAAAUCCUAAAUCAAAACAAAUACAAACUGUAUUUUUUAUUGCUUUCUUAUAAUAGGGUAUAAUUCAAGGUCAACCACCUUUUUCACUAUAUGUUUGUCAAAAUAUUAGACUUCCUUUGUUACUAUUUCUUGUAAUGGGUCUAAUUAAUUAUGUGGUUUUAUAAAGAGGGAGAUGCUUUCUGGCUCCAUUUGAACUGCAUACUGAUGAAAAGUAACAGUGUAACACUUAAGCUCUAUUUUGAUGGUGUAAGUCAACACUUGUUAUCAGAGGAACUUUUUUUUAUUACAAAAGAAUUAAAAAAUUCUUUCAGACAUUAAGCAGAUGACACACAGCACCUUCUUUUUCCUUACACUCUUAUACGUUAACGUGUUUUGCUUUUCUUUGUGUUAACUGGAAAUUAAAAGCUGGCACACCCUUAUUUUGACUGUGCCUUUACUGUAAAUUUUAAGCACUUGAAGCAGUUGUCUCAUAAAUAAUGUUUUCUGCCAAGGAACUAUUUUAGGUGGAGUUUUUUGAACCCCUCCCCACCACUCUGACAAAUUCCUUAAACUUCUGAUAUCUAUUGGUGAUUGGUGAUAAAAAGAAUUUGCUGCUCUCAUUCUCACUGUUUAGUUCUUCUUAAGAUUGCAGUGCUAAACCUUUUAAAGGUCUAAUUUGACACACCUGAGCUAGGAGGCAUAAUUUUGGAUACUGGCUGUUUUAAUGAGCUGUGAAGGAAGAAAAUUGGCAUUAUAGAAUCAUAGAGUAAUUUGCACUGAAAAGGGCCUUAAAGAUUGUCUGGUUCCAACCCAGCCUGCCACAGGCAGGACACCUUCCACUAGAGCACAUUACAGGAAGACCCACCCAGCCUGGACUUGAAGACUUCCAGAUAUGGGACAUCAAUAGCUUCUCUGGGAAACCUGAUCCACUGCCUCACCACACUCCUAGUAAAAAAACUCCUUCCUAACAUCUAAUCCAAAUAUCUUUAUUAAUAAAAACCAUCCUCCUUUGUUAACCCCUACA